UCAAACUGGAAUUUUGGUAAAAUGAAGAAAUCAAAGUACAAUAGACACUUAGCUUCACACAAACAGACUGAUUUAGUGUUUAACCAGAGAGCGAGAGAGAGAGUGAGAGUGAGAGAGAGAGAGAGAGAGAGAGAGAGAGAGAGAGAGCAGUGAGGUGUAACUGAGAUUUGCAUUAACAGGACUGAAGAGUUUCAUUUCUCCCAGAAUAGCAAUUGCCAGUCCAUGCUUCAGUGCUCUGCGAGUGUUUAUAGCCCUGUGACUUUAACACUUCAUGACUGAGAGCUGCUGCUCAGCAACUUCACCCACAGCAACCAUGACUUUGAUCAGCGUCUUCAUCUGCACACUGGCCCUCUGGACUCAAGGAUCCAGAGGUCAGGUGACUGUGACUCAGACUCCUUCAGUGCAAACUGCUGAUCCAGGAAAAACAGUCACCUUCAACUGUAGAACCAGUAGCAGCGUGUAUGUUGGUGAUACUCUUCACUGGUACCUGCAGAAACCUGGAGAAGCUCCUAAACUCCUGAUCCAUGAUGCUACUAGCUCAUACACAGGGACUCCAGCUCGUUUCAGUGGCAGUGGAUCUAAUACUGACUUCACUCUGACCAUCAGAGGAGUCCAGACUGAAGAUGCAGGAGAUUACUACUGUCAGAGUGUACAUCAGAUCGGUAGUAGCUGGGUGUUCACACAGUGUUAGAGCGCCGUACAAAAACCUCGGUCAGUGAGAGUGCACAGAGAAGCACUGCUGCAGCUGGGAGCGACUGCAGGUGCUGAGGGGGAGGAUGUGAUACAGCACAAUGACACACACUGUGGACGAGAGAAAACACACCACACUAACUCACUAAUGCACACACACAUC